UACGUAGGGGGCAAGCGUUGUCCGGAAUCAUUGGCGUAAAGAGCGCGUAGGCGGCCCUGUAAGUCCGCUGUGAAAGUCAAGGGCUCAACCCUUGGAUGCCGGUGGAUACUGCAGGGCUAGAGUCCGGAAGAGGCGAGUGGAAUUCCUGGUGUAGCGGUGAAAUGGCGCAGGAUAGUCAAGGAGGAACACCGAUGGCGAAGGCAGCCUGCGCUGGGACGGUACUGACGCUGAGGCGCGAAGCGUGGGGAGCAAACAGGAUGAGAA
rnacentral:rRNA from 1 species